GACAGAAAUAUUUGUGCUGUUCUCCCUAAGGUAUUGCCAUCAGAGAGUCAGCAAAGGCUGUUGACCAAGCCCAAAGGAGGGUGCUGAGGGGAGUUUAUGACCUGGAGUUUUUCAUAGGGGAUGAAGCCAUAGAUAAACCCACAUAUGCCAUAAAGGUAAACUCCCCACUGGGAUUUGCUUCAUGGCCAAUAAGACAUGGAAUAAUUGAAGACUGGGAUAUAAUGGAGAGUUUCAUGGAACAAGUGAUUUUUAAUUUUCCCUGAGCUGAACCUGAGGGCCAUCAAUUUUUGAUGAGUUUUAGAAUUAAGGCUCCCUUCCUCAGAAACCUUCCUAGCAGAUUUGCCUUGUCUCUCCAUGCCCAGUGUGGGCCCUAGAGGGGAAUGAAAUUACUUCAGUUCAUUUUGAUGAGUCAAGAUUCUCUCCUGUUGCUGGUGAGUGGACCACAUCUCAUCACCUGGCCCCAGGAGACAGAACCUCCCCUGAAUACACCAGAAAAUAGAGAAUAUCUUGCAGAAAUUAUGUUCAAAUUAUUUAAUGUACCAGGACUGUACAUUGCAGUUCAGGUAAGGACAAGUGACUUUCAUGAUUUCCAAGUGACCUUAGUUGUCUAAUGUGGAAGAAAUUGUGAUUCUAGAGGCCUCUGAAAGAUUGUGUGGUGUGGUUUCCUUUCCCACGCACUCAAGUGCACAUGAACUCAUCCCGUUCUGGUCCAAGCUCAAACACUGUACAGAGCAAGUUCUGUGAUUUAUGUUUUUACUGCUGGUGUAGAGUUUGUCCAGCUUUUGUCUGUUUACAUUCACUAA